rnacentral:rRNA from 1 species
AGAGUUUGAUCCUGGCUCAGAUUGAACGCUGGCGGCAUGCUUUACACAUGCAAGUCGGACGGCAGCACAGAGAAGCUUGCUUCUUGGGUGGCGAGUGGCGAACGGGUGAGUAACAUAUCGGAACGUACCGAGCAGUGAGGGAUAACUAAUCGAAAGAUUAGCUAAUACCGCAUAUUUUCUGAGGAAGAAAGCAGGGGACCAUUUGGCCUUGCGCUGUUUGAGCGGCCGAUAUCUGAUUAGCUAGUUGGUGGGGUAAAGGCUUACCAAGGCGACGAUCAGUAGCGGGUCUGAGAGGAUGAUCCGCCACACUGGGACUGAGACACGGCCCAGACUCCUACGGGAGGCAGCAGUGGGGAAUUUUGGACAAUGGGCGCAAGCCUGAUCCAGCCAUGCCGCGUGUCUGAAGAAGGCCUUCGGGUUGUAAAGGACUUUUGUCAGGGAAGAAAAGGGCGGGGUUAAUACCCCUGUCUGAUGACGGUACCUGAAGAAUAAGCACCGGCUAACUACGUGCCAGCAGCCGCGGUAAUACGUAGGGUGCGAGCGUUAAUCGGAAUUACUGGGCGUAAAGCGAGCGCAGACGGUUACUUAAGCAGGAUGUGAAAUCCCCGGGCUCAACCUGGGAACUGCGUUCUGAACUGGGUGACUAGAGUGUGUCAGAGGGAGGUAGAAUUCCACGUGUAGCAGUGAAAUGCGUAGAGAUGUGGAGGAAUACCGAUGGCGAAAGCAGCCUCCUGGGAUAACACUGACGUUCAUGCUCGAAAGCGUGGGUAGCAAACAGGAUUAGAUACCCUGGUAGUCCACGCCCUAAACGAUGUCAAUUAGCUGUUGGGCAACUUGAUUGUUCAGUAGCGUAGCUAACGCGUGAAAUUGACCGCCUGGGGAGCACGGUCGCAGAU